rnacentral:rRNA from 1 species
AGUGAACGCUGGCGGCAGGCCUAACACAUGCAAGUCGAACGAACCCUCCGGGGUUAGUGGCGGAUGGGUGUGUAGCACGUGGGAAGGUGCCCUCAGGUUCGGAAUAACUCUGGGAAACUUGUGCCAACAUCGAAUGUGCCCUUCGGGGGAAAGAUUAAUCGCCCUUAGAGCGGCCCGCGUCUGAUUAGCUAGUUGGUUGAGGUAAUGGCUCAUCAAGGCGACGUUAAGUAGCUGGUCCGAGAGAAUGGGCAGCGACAUUGGGACGAAGACGCGGCCCAAACUCCUACGGGAGGCAGCAGUGGGUGAUCGUGCGCAAUAGGCGAAGUGCUGACGGAGCCAGGCCGCGAGAAUGAUGAAAGUCGUAAGAAUGUAAAGUUCUUUCACCGGGGACGGUAAUGACGGUACCCGGAGAAAAAGCCCCGGCUAACUUCGUG